UUUAUGGAGAGUUUGAUCCUGGCUCAGGAUGAACGCUGGCGGCGUGCCUAAUACAUGCAAGUCGAGCGAACGGACGAGAAGCUUGCUUCUCUGAUGUUAGCGGCGGACGGGUGAGUAACACGUGGAUAACCUACCUAUAAGACUGGGAUAACUUCGGGAAACCGGAGCUAAUACCGGAUAAUAUUUUGAACCGCAUGGUUCAAAAGUGAAAGACGGUCUUGCUGUCACUUAUAGAUGGAUCCGCGCUGCAUUAGCUAGUUGGUAAGGUAACGGCUUACCAAGGCAACGAUGCAUAGCCGACCUGAGAGGGUGAUCGGCCACACUGGAACUGAGACACGGUCCAGACUCCUACGGGAGGCAGCAGUAGGGAAUCUUCCGCAAUGGGCGAAAGCCUGACGGAGCAACGCCGCGUGAGUGAUGAAGGUCUUCGGAUCGUAAAACUCUGUUAUUAGGGAAGAACAUAUGUGUAAGUAACUGUGCACAUCUUGACGGUACCUAAUCAGAAAGCCACGGCUAACUACGUGCCAGCAGCCGCGGUAAUACGUAGGUGGCAAGCGUUAUCCGGAAUUAUUGGGCGUAAAGCGCGCGUAGGCGGUUUUUUAAGUCUGAUGUGAAAGCCCACGGCUCAACCGUGGAGGGUCAUUGGAAACUGGAAAACUUGAGUGCAGAAGAGGAAAGUGGAAUUCCAUGUGUAGCGGUGAAAUGCGCAGAGAUAUGGAGGAACACCAGUGGCGAAGGCGACUUUCUGGUCUGUAACUGACGCUGAUGUGCGAAAGCGUGGGGAUCAAACAGGAUUAGAUACCCUGGUAGUCCACGCCGUAAACGAUG
rnacentral:rRNA from 2 species